rnacentral:rRNA from 1 species
AACGCGAAGAACCUUACCUGGGCUCGAAAUGUAAGGGACGACAACAGAGAUGUUGUUUCUCGAAAGGGUCCUUAUAUAGGUGCUGCAUGGCUGUCGUCAGCUCGUGCCGUGAGGUGUUUGGUUAAGUCCAGCAACGAGCGCAACCCUUAUCGUUAGUUGCCAACGCGUAAAGGCGGGAACUCUAACGAGACUGCCUGGGUUAACCAGGAGGAAGGUGAGGAUGACGUCAAGUCCGCAUGGCCUUUAUGUCCAGGGCUACACACGUGCUACAAUGGUCGGUACAGAAGGCAGCAAAACCGCAAGGCGAAGCUAAUCCUGUAAAACCGAUCUCAGUUCAGAUUGUAGUCUGCAACUCGGCUACAUGAAGUUGGAAUUGCUAGUAAUGGCGUGUCAGCAACAACGCCGUGAAUACGUUCCCGGGCCUUGUA